GCGGCCGUGACCCUGCUGGAGUGUGGGGGGGACCUCCAGCCCCCCGGGGGGUCCCUGACGCUGCUGUGCCACGCAUCUGGGUUUGAUUUCGGGAAUUUUGGAAUUAUCUGGAUCCGUCAGAGACCCAAAAAGACACUGGAAUACAUCGCCAGCAUCAGCAGCAGUGGUGGCGGCACCGGCUACGCGCCGUUGGUCAAGGGCCGGUUCACGAUCUCCACGGACAACGGGCAGAGCUCGGUGACGCUGACAAUGAACAACCUCAAGGACGAGGAUUCCGCCAUUUAUUUCUGCACAAAACGUGCCAGUAGUAGUUACGGUUCUCAGAGUGCUGCUGAAAUUGGCAGAAGCACCGUCAGUGUUCCCACCACCAUGAUGGUCACCAACUAUCUCCACAAACAUGGUGCAACCGCCGACAUCAACCUGGACCCUCGGCACAACAACUUGGAAAAAGGGAUGAGACCCCCCGUGGAGGGCCAGCAGGAGCAGAAGGACGAGGAUGAUGAAAUCCAAGGGUCCCAAUUUCGGGCCAAUAUAAAGAAUAUUGCGGUCAAGGGUUGA